AGUGCCAGAGCCCAGAGCCAGUCUCAGCCCCAUUUCGCAUACUCCUCGCCUCUGUGUCUCUCUCCUCUCUCGCUGUUUUGUGUCUGUUUGCGCGCUCACUUAGCGAUCAUAUCAUUUUGACAUGCUCGUGUGUUUAAGCUGUCAAAUUGCCUGCUGUCUACGGAUGCUGUUCCGUUCCUCUAGGAGAGUCUAGGAGAGGAGAGUCUUAACUAUCUUUUUGAACUCCUCGUAGACUGGAGACUGUAGACUGCAGACUGCAGACUGUGCUGUGGCCGCCUGUUGGAGCCGCGCGCUUGUCUUGUCUAUUUGUAUCUGGACAGGCACUUCUCGGCCUUAAGUUGACGUGUUACGCUGUCAGCAUGGAGAAAACCUCAAUUUCAAACUGUCAGUUUAUAUGUCAGCUUCAACUGACAGUUCUCCAUGUUGGCGCUGUCUCUUUUUCUUCGUUUCGUUUCGUUUCGUUACGUUGGCUCCGGCUCUGGCUCUGGCUUUUCCACAGAUACAAAUACAGAUACCAUACCGCGUAGAGGCUACAGUCUACAGCCGACAGACAGGGAGAUACUUAGAUGGGCAUUUGAAUAAUGCGCACACAACUCUCUGGCUUACCAAAGAGGUUUGGUUUCGCUCUGUUAUGGCGGGGAUACUUGCUGUUCAUUUGGCCAUGAUCCUAACUCUAUUCAUGGUGUGCGCUUCAACACGGGGGAAACAACUCAUUCGUGGCUGCUGUCUACUGUCUACCGUCUACAAGUUGAAUGGGCCAGAGAUACGAGUACGACUAAGAGCACACACCAGUACACCAGCUUGCGGAAUCCGGUGAUGAUUUCCACUGAUACUAGAUAAAGCAUUACAGGCGACUCUUUCUGGGAAACAAUGUUAAGUGUUGUAACCACACAUUGCCACUGAAAUGAUUGUUGGAUAACUGUAAACCGACUGAAUGUCCGUCUAAUACUAUGACUCUGAUUGAAAUACCGCUUUCGUCUGGCACACGGGCAACAGCUUCAUUUCGACAGCGGCAACAAAGUUUAUUGGCAACAGACACACACACACAAACACAAAAGAAGGUAAGAGGAGGGUAAAACCUUAACCCAAUAUCCUGCUUAUGGUCAUAAUUUUUGUGCUGCUUCCAGCCAAGAAACCAAAAGAAAAAGAAAUGAGAAAAAAAGAAGGAAAAAGAUCUGUAAAAAAUCCAGCGACCGCCUGGUCGCAACUUAUUGCAGUUGCAGGGAGAACCCUGCCACAUCCUCAGUUGCAGCUCUCCCAUCUUGCGUCUCCCGGUUCCCGUCU